rnacentral:rRNA from 1 species
CCUACGGGAGGCAGCAGUGAGGAAUAUUGGUCAAUGGGCGCUAGCCUGAACCAGCCAAGUAGCGUGAAGGAUGACUGCCCUAUGGGUUGUAAACUUCUUUUAUAUGGGAAUAAAGUGCAGUAUGUAUACUGCUUUGCAUGUACCUUAUGAAUAAGGAUCGGCUAACUCCGUGCCAGCAGCCGCGGUAAUACGGAGGAUCCGAGCGUUAUCCGGAUUUAUUGGGUGUAAAGGGAGCGUAGGCGGGGUGUUAAGUGAGUUGUGAAAGUUUGCGGCUCAACCGUAAAAUUGCAGUUGAUACUGGCAUCCUUGAGUACAGUAGAGGUAGGCGGAAUUCGUGGUGUAGCGGUGAAAUGCGUAGAUAUCACGAAGAACUCCGAUUGCGAAGGCAGCCUGCUGGACUGUAACUGACGCUGAUGCUCGAAAGUGUGGGUAGCAAACAGGAUUAGAUACCCGGGUAGUC